GGCAGAAUAGUAGAGUGGUUAGAAUGAUGGGCUCUGAAGCCAGAUGACCUGGGUUUGAAUCUCAGCUCUGUUA
rnacentral:tRNA from 1 species